CACCAGAGCCACAAGUGGCAAUCACGAUUAUUGGGCCUAAAGGGUUCGUAGCCUAUUCAAUAAAUCUUUUGUGAAAUUGUUGGCCUCAAUCUAACAAUGUGCAAAAGAAACUGUUGAGUUUGAGACCAGGAAGAGGCAGAAGUAUUCUAAGGGGAGUGGUAAAAUAUUAUAAUCCUUAGAAGACUACCUAUGGCGAAGGCAUCUGUCUAGAAUGGGUCUGACGGUGAGGAACGAAGGCUAGGGGAGCGAUCCGGAUUAGAUACCCCCGUA
rnacentral:rRNA from 1 species